CUGGUCUUGACAUCCAUAGAACACUUUAGAGAUAGAGUGGUGCCUUCGGGAGCUAUGAGACAGGUGCUGCAUGGCUGUCGUCAGCUCGUGUUGUGAAAUGUUGGGUUAAGUCCCGCAACGAGCGCAACCCUUAUCCUUUGUUGCCAGCACGUAGAGGUGGGAACUCAAAGGAGACUGCCGUUGAUAAAGCGGAGGAAGGUGGGGACGACGUCAAGUCAUCAUGGCCCUUACGACCAGGGCUACACACGUGCUACAAUGGCGUAUACAAAGGGAGGCGACCUCGCGAGAGCAAGCGGACCUCAUAAAGUACGUCUAAGUCCGGAUUGGAGUCUGCAACUCGACUCCAUGAAGUCGGAAUCGCUAGUAAUCGUGAAUCAGAAUGUCACGGUGAAUACGUUCCCGGGCCUUGUACACACCGCCCGUCACACCAUGGGAGUGGGUUGCACCAGAAGUAGAUAGCUUAACCGCAAGGGGGGCGUUUACCACGGUGUGGUCCAUGACUGGGGUGAAGUCGUAACAAGGUAACCAAGGGCGAAUUCCAG
rnacentral:rRNA from 1 species